rnacentral:rRNA from 1 species
UACGAAGGGGGCUAGCGUUGCUCGGAAUUACUGGGCGUAAAGGGCGCGUAGGCGGACAUUUGAAGUCGGGGGUGAAAGCCCAGGGCUCAACCCUGGAAUUGCCUUCGAUACUGGAUGUCUUGAGUUCGGGAGAGGUGAGUGGAAUGCCGAGUGUAGAGGUGAAAUUCGUAGAUAUUCGGCGGAACACCAGUGGCGAAGGCGACUCACUGGCCCGUAACUGACGCUGAGGUGCGAAAGCGUGGGGAGCAAACAGGG